rnacentral:rRNA from 1 species
CCCGAAAGGUCGAAGGCGGAGAUUCAACUGUCUGAUCGUAUUGUGUCGGCGUCGUCGGGGCGCAAAUUUACUUUGCUAAACUGAGACGGUGGCGCGCGUGCGUUUUCUCGUAAAGCGUACCGCGUUUCGCUCGGCCCCGACGCACGAGACCUGACCGCGAAGGCAUGCACUUCUCCGUCUGUAGGACGUCGCGACCCGUUGGGCGUCGGUCUAAGGCCCGUCGUGGCGACUGUUCUCGCGCUUCGGCGUCGAGUGACAGACCGACGGUGUUCACUUUCCCGGCCGUGCGCCCGACGGUAUAAUCGAACGGACGGCGUUGGGUCGCGUCACUCGUGACGCGUUCGAUCGUCCGCAAGUGCGUGCGCGUCAGUCGAUUUCGUAUCGCCGGCGGUCGGACCUGGUGCCGGCCCCGGACGCGCAUCACUGUUUGCGUUGUGCGAAACUCGAACAGGCCCGAGUCGCGCGCCUCCGGCGCGCGGCGCGCCGCGUCGGCGACGCUAUAGCUUUGGGUACUUUCAGGACCCGUCUUGAAACACGGACCAAGGAGUCUAGCAUGUGCGCGAGUCACUGAGAUUUACACUAGACUCAAAGGCGCAAUGAAAGUGAAGGCACGUCGAAUCGACGGUAGCCGAGGGAGGAUCGGUCGCGCUUCCGUCAGACGAACGCGCGGCCGCGCACUCCCGGGGCGUCUCGUUCUCAUUGCGAGUUGAGGCGCACCCAGAGCGUACACGCUGGGACCCGAAAGAUGGUGAACUAUGCCUGGUCAGGACGAAGUCAGGGGAAACCCUGAUGGAGGUCCGUAGCGAUUCUGACGUGCAAAUCGAUCGUCGGAACUGGGUAUAGGGGCGAAAGACUAAUCGAACCAUCUAGUAGCUGGUUCCCUCCGAAGUUUCCCUCAGGAUAGCUGGCGCUCGCGUUCGCACGGCGCGCGUUUGCGCGCGCGCCGUUCGCGUUCACGAGUCUCAUCUGGUAAAGCGAAUGAUUAGAGGCCUUGGGGCCGAAACGACCUCAACCUAUUCUCAAACUUUAAAUGGGUGAGAUCUCCGGCUUGCUCGAAUUGAAUUUUUUAUGAAGCCGCGAGAUAAUUAUGGAUCGAGAGUGCCAAGUGGGCCACUUUU